UUGACCUCGAAUCAGGUAGGAAUACCCGCUGAACUUAAGCAUAUCAAUAAGCGGAGGAAAAGAAACCAACCGGGAUUACCUCAGUAACGGCGAGUGAAGCGGUAACAGCUCAAAUUUGAAAUCUGGCUCUUCCGGAGUCCGAGUUGUAAUUUGUAGAAGAUGCUUUGGGUUGUGGGUUCGGCCUAAGUUCCUUGGAACAGGACGUCAUAGAGGGUGAGAAUCCCGUAUGUGGCCGAGGCCCGCGCCUAUGUAAAGCUCUUUCAACGAGUCGAGUUGUUUGGGAAUGCAGCUCAAAAUGGGUGGUAAAUUUCAUCUAAAGCUAAAUAUGGGCCAGAGACCGAUAGCGCACAAGUAGAGUGAUCGAAAGAUGAAAAGCACUUUGGAAAGAGAGUUAAACAGUACGUGAAAUUGUUGAAAGGGAAGCGCUUGCAACCAGACUUGGGCGCUGCCGAUCACCUUGAGUUUUCUCGAGUGCACUCGACAGCGCACAGGCCAGCAUCGGUUCGGGUGGCUGGAUAAAGGCCGUAGGAAUGUGGCUCUCUUCGGGGAGUGUUAUAGCCUACGGUGCCAUGCAGCCCAGCCGGACCGAGGACCGCGCCUUCGGGCUAGGAUGCUGGCGUAAUGGUUGUAAGCGACCCGUCUUGAAACACGGACCAAGGAGUCUAACAUCUAUGCGAGUGUUUGGGUGGUAAACCCAUACGCGGAAUGAAAGUGAACGUAGGUGAGAACCCCUUUGGGGCGCAUCAUCGACCGAUCCUGAUGUCUUCGGAUGGAUGGAUUUGAGUAAGAGCAUAGCUGUUGGGACC
rnacentral:rRNA from 1 species